UGGUCCAGAUCAAGUGGUUUUAUUUGUCAAUGCUAUGACACCAGAAGCAAGCAACUUGAAACUCAGGUAAAUACUAGGAAUUAAGUUUUGUAUUGGAUUUUUAAAUAAAUGCCAUCAUAGAAAUGGGUAUUCAAGAGACACAUUGUGAGAAUUAUUUCAUUAAAGAUCUAGAUGACAAAGGGUUUCAUUUUGUCUAAUAGCACUGUAAGUUAUUAGUUAUACAGUAUCAAAUAAAUUGAGGAAUAGCCCUCUCAGAGGACACUCUAGACGUUGCUUUUAUACAAGAUCAAGUCACACCAGAUGAUCUAAUAGUCCCUUGUGACAAUAACAUCUAUAAAUCUAUGAAAAUGUUUUAAUAAAGCAUAAGACCAAAGAUGAUCUUGUAUUUCUAAGCCUUUUGUGCUUUAACAUUCUCUGCCCCCCAUUUUGUGUUUAGCUCAAAAAAAAAAAAAAAGCAAUUCAGCUUUUUAUUUCAAGUUUUUCUCUACAUUUAAGCACACUGGUUACACUGGUAGUCCACUUUCCUGUUGUUAUUCUUGAAUUCAGUAACUUAUCAGUCACAAUUUCUAUUAUGGUGGUGGUGAAAGUAUUUAAGCUUCUUAUAUAUUAUUAGUAAACUUAAAUAGAAUGUUCAAAACAAAGUAUGGGAUCAUCAAAAUACAUCAAAAUGUAAGAUGAAUACUGUACAGAUUUUUCCCUACCUCCUCAUUGUAUAACUUUCACGCUAUCUUAAAAACUUGUUCCUUGUUCUUAAAUAAGAAUCCUAUUAACUCCUUAUAGACAUAAUGCCUUGCUAGGUUAGCUCUAAGUAAUGAGAUAAUUGCAUUAUUAUAGUAUUUUAGGUAUGUCCUGCUAACCUAUAACUGCAACUGUUGACACCACCACUCAAAAUAUUAUUUGUUCCCUGUUAAUGUAGCCUGUCCUUUAAUUCCUGUCAAAUGGCACUCAUCUAUCUGUUCAGAGUGAGAACUUCCCCUGUGCCAAAUAACUAUUAUUUCUUGAGUGUCACUCAAGUAAUAUUUCACUCUUUCAAUAUUACAGUUUUUAUUGGGUGUCACUUAUGUUGGUCAAGGAAUUCUGAACAGGUUUUCCUAAUAAAAUGGCAACUUUUUAAUGGCAGGCCAUCUAAAACUAACAAUGUAUUUGCAGGGUGGGUUUGCCUUUUAUGUUUUGGAAAGAAUGUAGUGACUAUGUAAAGCUAAUACAAGGUUUGGACACUUAGUUGUUUUUUAAAUUAAUUCCGAGAAUAUUCCACAGUAAUAAGAAAAUCUGUAUGUUCAGAUUAUACUAAUGAAUAUCAGUUCAAGAAUCUACAUAAAGAGGUGGACUAAACUAAUUUUCUUUUGUUUUGUAUCCACUUAAUAGCAACAGGAAGCACUCAAAGAACAUUGUACUUACUUGACCUUUGUAUACCAGUUUCACAGACCCAAAGAAUUGUGUUUAAAUGAGCUGCCAAACCUGGCUUUGGUGCCAGCCUGAGCACUCUUGGUUUAUCACCAGCUGACCUGCUGCUGCAAUUUGAAUAGCCACUUUCUUGCUACACACUCACAGUUCUUAAGAAUAAGAUUCCAUGGACACUGCAUCAUAUCAUAGCAUCAUGGAAUGGUUAGGGUUGGAAAGGACCUUAAGAUCAUCUAGUUCCAACCCCCCUGCCAUAUCCACCUUUUACCAGUGUGUAAGCCUUGGUUAAAAUACGCCUGGAAAAGGCUGUUUCCUACAAAGCACCCCAAUAUUCACUGAGUUUCUACCUGUGCUUAUAAUCUCUAUGAGGUAUUGCAAUCACUAACUUUUAAAGGGUAUCUGUAUCUUAAACUGACAGCAUCUGCUGUAGCCUGAUGCU
rnacentral:lncRNA from 1 species